rnacentral:lncRNA from 1 species
CAGGCCUCCUGUGCUUGAGUUUCCACAUCUCAAGUCCGCUGCCCGAGCGGCACCUGCCCGCUGGCCACCCCGCGUGUGCACAGCUAAAGGCACGCGGCUAAAACCACGCCUGGCCUUCCCCCCAGAGUUUCUGGUCGCAGAAAGUGUUGUCACUGUCCAUCUGCCCAUUCAGUUAUGUGACUUUCCUCGGCCUGGCUUUGGCCCUGCCAUGCCUGAUGGGUGCUGAUUCCUGUGGGUUUGGCCUCUUCUUUCCACGUCCAUCACUGUAGCCUCAGUCCAGGCUGCCAUCUUGGUUCAGGUGAUCUCAGAGAGCAGGUUCCUAACUGGUCUCACUGAUCCGAUCAGGCUGCCUUCCAACCUGUCCUCUAGUUUAUUAUUAUUAUUAUUAUUUUGUCUUUUUAGGGCUGUACCUGUGGCAUAUGGAAAUUUCCAGGCGAGGGGUGGAAUUGGAGCUACAGCUUCCAGCCUACACCAUAGUCACGGCAACACCAGAUAUGAGCUGCGUCUUCGACCUACACCACAGCUCACAGCAAUGCCAAAUCCUUCACCCACUGGGUGAGGGUAGAGGUCAGACCCACAUCCUCAUAGAUGCUAGUUGGGUCCAUUACUGCUGAGGCACAAUGGGAACUCCACGUGGGUGCUUCUGAUAAUAGUCAAUUUUAGGGUGGUGAAUUUUGGCACAUACUAUACUGGCAUUUUAUAAUGAUCUGUGGGCUCACCCAGAGACUUUUGGGGUACUCUUUACAAGACUGUGUUUCAGUUCUUGCCCUUUUCUCUCCUUGUAAUCUUCCCUGGCACUCUUUUUUUUUUAAUGUCUUUUUGCCUUUUCUAGGGCCACACCUGUGGCAUAUGGGGGUUCCCAGGCUCAGGGUCUAAUCGGAGCUGUAGACGCCGGCCUACACCAGAGCCACAGCAACAUGGGAUCCGAGCCGUGUCUUCGACCUACACCACAGCUCACAGCAACGCCGGAUCCUUAACCCACUGAGCGAGGUCAGAGAUCGAACCUGCAACCUCAUGGUUCCUAGUCAGAUUCAUUAACCACUGAGCCAUGACAGGAACCCCUUCCCCGGCACUCUUGAAGAAGUUCUUGUGUCCACUGCAUUCUUCAAAAUUGCAGAGCACAGCGUCUCUGGACUCAGUUAAUUCAGAAGGUAGACAACCUGAACUGGUGAAAAACAGAGCUGGAGGGGCCUUAGACGUUAUCUGCAGUUUAAAAAAACAGCCUCAGCCGUCAGCUGUGGUGUAGGUCGCAGACGUGGCUCGGAUCCUCCGUUGCUGUGGCUGUGGCAUAGGCUGACAACUACAGCUCUGAUUAGACCCCCUAGCCUGGGACCCUUCCUCUGCCGAGGAUGCAGCCCUAGAAAAGACAAAAAAAUAAAAUAAAAUAAAAUAAAAUAAAAAAGCAGCCUCCUUUUCUAGACGAGAAAACCAAGGCUCAGGAAAAUGGAGUGACUUUGCCAAGUUCCUCCAUGAGCAUCCUCUCCGGGAUCAGCAUGCAGCAUCCGAAAGCUCAUGCCAGCUGUUGACGCUCCUACUGAUUCAUUCCCUGGACAAAUAUGCUCAGUGCUUUUUACAGGAUGUCGGGAAUGAGGGUCAAGCUGAGGGUCAUGGCCGGGGAUUCUGCAAACAGAGCUCUAGCUGGGAAGACACACAGCAUCACAAAGAUGAACGGGGCACCUGUUCUCUUGACAGCUGACAGAGGAAGCCUUUGCUCAGUGCCUUCUCUGUCGACAGACAUGGUAAACCAUUCCUGCACCUGCUGAGUCCUUGAUCCCUUACAGCAGCUAUUCUUAUAAUCGAUGCCCUGACUUUGAGCUGAGAAAACGGAGGUUCAGAGUGACUCACUGACUUGCCAGGGAGGCUCAGAUGUGACAGAGGCCCCUCCUCUUGGCCUUCAGGGCCCCACCCUUCACCAGGGUGGGGUUGGCCAGUGCUCCCAUGAUGCCGCAGGACAGCAGAGCACCCUGAGUCUCACCGGAAGCUCAGCGCUGGCCCCACCCAAGGGGUCUGCCAUCUUCUCUUUUUUCACUUGCCACCGCCUCUUUCCCAAGUGUUGACAGCAUCUCUGUCUGCCCCUUCCCGGUCCUAGUUGGCCUUCUGGAACUUGUCCCUUUGUCAUCUGUGAUGUCCCCAGGGACUUCCCGUUUAGCUGGGUCCUCCGGUCUGUCCUGUCUAGGCCUGCCCUUUCUUGAGUUCUUUCAAGUCUCCAUCUGACGGCUUCAACAAGUGUCUGGCUUCAGAACAGGGACCCCCUUCAGUCCAGCCCACUUUCCACCUUCUCUUCACCCGAAGCCCUUGCAAAACUAGCCGUCCCUCAGAAGAGUGUGGGUUCAACACUCCAGGCAUUGGCUUCUAUCAGCCUGUGUGUGUGUGUGUGUGUGUGUGUGUGUGUGUGUGAGAGAGAGAGAGAGAGAGAGAGAGAGAGAGAGAGGGAGAGAGAGAGAGAGAGAAAGUAUGAUCCGAGGCUCUAAACAGAGGCACAAUAUUCAGGCGCAGCCUGUUUCUGUAAGUUGUCUGUCUUACCCCAGUGUGAAGGGCACUAAGAAGAGCGAGGUGAUGCUUGCUUCCGUGGGAUGUAGACAGCAGGAGCCCCCAGCAUUCUCAGCCAUUGGGGUGACAGUGUGGAGCCCCAGAGGUCUCACUUGUCACCUAUUACAUAGCAGGUAUAUGCCACAUGUCACUCUGGGUGUAGUGGAAACACAGGCUGCAAGAAUGGUCUGCAGUCGCCUUGUUCACAGUUUUCCUGAACUCCACCUUUCAGGGAGGAUAUUUAGAAAAGGUGAAAGGAAGUGAGAGAGAUCAAACAGCCUGUCGAACAUGGAUGUCUUUCUCAAAAGCAAGGGCUGUGCCCAUACUCCUGUUUAGCGUGCUCUGUGCCACUUAGCCCUGGUACACUGGCUAAAGGGAAAAGGCCAGGCCUGGGUGGUUCUCCUGGGCUCUGCACUCUGAGAGUCUACGGCUCAAUGAGACAUUAAAUAAUUGACAAGCCUGCUUUCAUAGGGCAGCUGCUAUGCCUCCUCAUUUUAAAAAUAGAUGAGCUGUUUACCUGUUUCUCCAUGCUUCUCAUUUGGAAGUAUUUGUUUUCUCACUUUUUUUUUUUUUUAAAGAAUUCAUUUUUAGGAGUUCCUGCUGCAUUGCAGUUGCUUAAGAAUCCAAAGGCAUUGGCUUGGGUUGUUGUGGAGGCACAGGUUUCAUCCCCAGCCUGAGGCAGUGGGUUAAAGGAUAUGCCGUUGCCACAGCUGUGGUGUAGGUUGCACCUGUGGCUUGGGUUCCGUCCCCGGCUAAGAAACUUCCACACACCUUGGAUAUGGCCAUAAAAAAAAAAAAAAUUCGUUUUUAGCAUUUGUCCUCUUGGGACUGGCAUUAGAAUUUCCCAGGCGAUUGUCAGCUUCUCCCAGGCUUCUCUUCCCUCUGUCCUGGCGCCUGGCCUGUGCUUGGUGGGGAAAAGAUUCUUUUUUUUUUUUUUUUUAAUAGGGAUUUGAAUGAUUUUUUAUUAAAAUUCAGUUGAUUUACAAAGCUGUGCCAAUUUCUGCUCUACAAAAAGUAAUCCAGUCAUGUAUAUAUAUAUGAUUUUUUUCUCAUAUCACCUUCCAUUAUGUCCUAUCCCAAGAGACUGGGUCGAGUUCCUUGGCUGGGCAUUAGAACAUGUGUGGUAUAGGGGAGAUGACUUUCCAGGGUUUCCAAGUAGCUGCCGGGUGAGGUAUCAGGCCAAAGGGUGGGCCAGAGCAGAGAGAGGGGUGAACUGCAGGUCCCUUCAAAUACCAGUUCCAGAAGCCUCUUUUACAGGUUGUUAUUGCCACUUAUCUUUUAUUUCUGUUGGUUCUGCCUAAUGUGAGCUUGUGCUGAGAUGUGUGAGAAAUAAACUCUCAGUUAUGUGUCUGGGAUGUGAAACGUGCUUCCGUUUUCUGGAACUUGAUGGAGGAAGGAUUUGUGCUAUUUAGAAGCAGAGGUUCCUCCAUUCUCCUGCUUUUCAAGUAAGACUAUGAGGAAUGGACCCUUUGCUCCCAAAGUGGUCCCCAACCUGAGCAGUGAAGCCACCCCCUUCCGCCCCCCGACUAGGGCAAAGAUACAUGAAGGCUGGGUGGGCAAGGGGACAAGGCAUCAGGGGUACGUCCUAGUGCCUGCGACUGGGAGAGGGACAGACCUCCAAAUUAGUUCUUAAUUAAUUUGAAAUACCCAAUUCCUUUCUUAUCUGACUUAAAUCAAUCUUAAAUAUAAGUAGAAAAAUGAAUUCCUUAGCCCCAUGUGGUUUUGGGGGGGGGGUCAUAUUAUUGUGCCUUGUCUGUUUGUCCUGCCACCUCUGUUCUCCAGUUGAAGGAGCCCACACCUGAAGCAGGCAGAGUUUUGGUGGCCAGGGUGGCCGUUACCCAGCCUGGCUCAGACCUCCUGCCACACGUGCUCCUGGGAAGUCAAUGCGAAGUCUUCUCGGGCUCAGUCCUUCAGUCCCCAGACAAAGAGAGGAACUGAAGGAGUAGUGAUAGGCUUAGUUAAAUUCUGCUUUGGAAAAUAUCAGAUGGAGGGGAAUGGAUUUAUUUUCCACUCGAUCAAAUAAGACAUUAAGAAAAGUCCAGCGCGACUGGAAAUUACUUAAGGUCAACUGAGGACACUUUGUGGUCAAUUUCCUUUCAUCCCAAAAGACCAGAAAUAAAAGUAAAUCUAUACACUACUGAAAGAUAUUGGAAAAAUGUCUCCUUGUACCCGAGAGCAAUUUACCUGAUUGUUAUGUUAUCAUAUUUGGGAGUAGGCUAUGUAUUUAUUUAUGAUUUAUUAAUAUGAUAUUUAUCUUUGAUGAAAAUUAAAUUAUUACAGUAG